rnacentral:lncRNA from 1 species
UCCUUCUUCUUCUUCUUCUUCUUUUUCUUCUUUUUCUUCUUUUUUUUUUCUUCUUUUUAUUCUUUUUCUUCUUCUCCUUCUCCUUCUCCUUCUCCUUCUCCUUCUUUUUCUUCUUUUUCGGAGGAGGAGGAGAAAAGAAAAGAAAAGAUAGGGACUAUUUCAUUGACAAAAAGAAACCAUAAGGACAUUUUAAUAGAUGUGAGAAAAGAUAGGGACUAUUUUGUUAACAAACAGAAACGAUAAGGACGUUUUAAUAGAUUUCUAAAAAUAUAGGGAGGGACGAUUUCAUUGACGGAAAGAAACGAUGAGGAAGGAUUAUUUCGUUGAUAUAUGAGAAAAGAUAGGGACUAUUUUAUUGACGAAAAGAAAUGAUAAGGACGUUUUAAUAUAUAUGGAAAAAGAUAAAAACGUUUUAAUAGAUUUUUGAAAAUGUAAGGACUAACUUGUUAAUAAUAACAAUAUCAAAGGACUAAAUAAAGGAUUUUAUUUGAGGGUAAAAUUGAAUUUUAAAAAUUUUUUCUCCUCCUUUAUCUAAUUUUAACGGAAAAGAGGACGGAAGGACUAUUUCGUUGACGGAAAGAAAACAUAAAGAUGUUUUAAUAAGUUUCUAAAAAUACAGGGACUGAUUUGUUAAUAAUGGCAAUAUCCAAGGACUAAAUUAUAAAUUUCUCUUUUUUUUAUAUAUGAAAUAAACUACUUUUUGUUUUUCUUAUUUGAUGAAUUAUCAAAUUAUGUGUUUAUAUUGAUCGAUUGCCUUUAUUCAAACUCAAUUUAGUUCAUCAAUUGUAAUUUUAUUGUAUUGAAUUAAUGUUUAAAAAAUGCUGAAAAUGUAAUGCAGAUCUGUGAAAAAGGAAAAUGAAUUAGAAAAACCGAUUUAUAAAAUCAAAUCGAUUUUAUUUCAAUUUGAUUUGAUUGUAUUAGUAUUAUGGUUCAGCCUAAUCGAUUUAAUUUUUAAUUUAAGAUAAUUUCAAUUUUUGAUUUAAUCAGUUUGGUUUGAUUUUAAACCAAACUGACCGAAUGCUCAACCCUAAUUAUAAUACAUGGCUAUAAACUAUAGGAAAUACUUGGCUAAAACUUGAUCCACUAUAGACCAAGUCAAUUAUAAAGCACAAACAGGUGGGUCUCUAUAAAAAAAUGAAACCAACAUUAGUUAGGGGUACAAUAGAGCAAUUUUCACUCCGCAAUCUUCGUUUCUAAUCAUAUUCGCUAGUUAGGGGUGUAUUAGAGCAACAUUCUAAAAGAUAUAUUGCCUUAUUCUUUUUCAAAUUAUAAUGGAGUUUUUUUUAUCAAAUGUUGAUCUUGAAUUCCACAUCAACUCUGCUAUACAUCUCAAGCUUAGUAGCAAGGAUUAGCUUGAUUCAUGAUUAAUGCCACACAAUAGUCGCCCAAAAGUAAGUCCUGAAUUGUCACCACAUCAUCACAGCUCCAUGUGGUAAGGAUCAAAUAAGUUGAUAACACGAUUCCAUCUGAGAAAAAAUAAACUCAGACACCUCAACACUUGGUUUAUCAUCAAGACUCGCCUUCCUCUAGACAGGGUGAGUCUCGACCCGAAGUUACUUUUAUCAGGCACAUUCCAGUGAAUUCUCAUUAUGCCUGUAACCGUGGGAUCACCAACCUAUUAGCUAGCGACAUACCUUAUCAAACAGCCGACCACAUCAUCACCGGAUUAUCAAGAAAUGUUAUAUUUAUCUCCAUAUUUUUACAGUAUAAAAGGAGAGGAAUCAUAGAGGUAAAGGGAUGCUAUUCUUUUACACUACUCAAGUUCUAAACUAUUCAUUACUUUCGCUCUAUUCUCUAAUAUAUUGACUUGAGUAUUUGAGUGGGUGCCGUGGGCACCCACCACCUCACAUUCUCUUUUUUGUAGGUCUAAGCCAAUCAGCUCUAUUUUCUAGCUAUAUCAUUUGGUUUCGCUGCUGGGAGGAUCCUUUGAAUCCUCUCUGUUCAUUUAAAUUAUAACUGGUCUCUUAGUUCUCUUCUUUUAAAAAGAAACCUUUUUCUCUUCUCUCUCGAAAUAGCCGGUAGUUUACGAGCUGCUACUGUUAAAUUUGCUAUCAAUGAGAGUAUCAUCAUUUCUUCCGCCCUUAGGAUCAGGCAAAAUACGUCCUAAAUGGUCAAUAAAACAGAUAUCAACAAGUUGACCAACGAGCAGAUGCUCCAAUACAUCCAAAAGUUACAGGCUACUUUCGAGCAGUACAAAACUCGGAGGGAGGCGUCAGUCACGGCUCCCAAGAAAAGGGAAGACGUCCCCAUCGAUACCUCGAGGACUCGUAUAUAGGCGACUAGGAGACGGUCCAAAGGGAUGGCCGAGGUCGAAGAAGAUGAAGUAGACAAUGCACCAAAAGGGGUGAACCGAAAGCUGGUAUUGAUUGUUCAAAGAUACCAAAAGGAACAAGAGAAGAACUUUGGUAAGGAGGGUGUCUCGUCUCUUUCAGAAGAAAUUUUGGCUCAAACUUUUCUAACCAAAUUCUAGUUGCUUAACUUGGACAAAUAUAACGGAAUAGCAUAUCUUAGAAGCCAAUGAUUAAUGUGUGAAUUUUUUUAAAUUUGGAAAAUUAAUCAUAAAUUACUCUUAAAAUAUUUUAAUUUUUGGUAACAAUAUAAAACAAAAGAAAAUAUUACUAAUAAAAAAUAAUUAACAAAUAUAGCAAUUGAAUAAAACACUAAUUAAAUGAUAAAAUAAUUUGAAUAUGGUUAAAUUAUAUGAUAUUUCUAUCAUAUUUUAAUAUUUUAAAAAUUAAUAAUAUUAUUCUCCUUCAAAAAAAUAACUAUUAAUUUUAAAAGCACAAUAAUUAUAAAAAUAAAAUAAAAAUAAUUUUCUACAUCUGUAAUCCUACAUAGAAAGUUAAUAUGUAUUAUUAAAAUUAAAAUUUAAGUUAAUUAGCUUUUAUUAUUUAUGGUAUUAUUUUAUCUUAACAAUUAGGACUUAAUAUUUGAUAAAACAUAUUAAAAACUUUAAGAAACGAAAAAGUGAUUAAUGAUAAAUAUAUGAAUAUUAUAAUUAAUAUGUAUGAAUAUUAAAGAAAGAAUCAUAUUAAUAUAAUAAUAAUAAUUUAAAUACAAAUUUUAAAUUUUGGUUAUUAAAAUAAUCAUUUAAAUAUAAAAAUCGAGUUAGUGAUAUAAAUAAAAGCGACACUAAAAAAAUAUAAAAAAAUUAUUAUAUUUAUAUUAAUUUCACAUGUUAUUCAUUUUGAUUUAAUUUAAUUUUUAAUUUUAAAAAUUUCAAUUAUUUUAAUUUGAUUUGAUUUUAAUAAAAAAAUUAAAAAAAAUAAAUUAAAUCAAUUAAUAAUAAUAAUAUAUUAUUUUUUAUAAUAUAGAGAUUAAAUUAUAAUUAAAAUUAAAAUAAUUUAAUUAAAUUUUAUAAUAUUAAAAAUAAAAUGUAAAAAAUAAAAAAUCUAUUAAAAUUUCAACUGAUAAACCAAAACGAAUCGAAUCCAAUGUAUUGUCCAGCCCGAUAAUAUAAGUUUCGAUUGCCUAAAGACUCUUAUAAGCCAAUAGUACCUGAACCACCGUCCAUAAGGCCCGCUAGAGACUGACCCAGCAGCAAGAGUUGGACAACGUUGAUUACCCAGAAAAGCACAUGAGAAAGGAGGCUUUAUCAACUCUACCCAGGCAUCCCAUAACAGAACAAAUUAAGUUUUUUUUUUUUUUAAAAAAAAAAAAGAAAACAUUUUAAGCUUUGAUGUUUCAAAUACUCUCUCUUAUAUUCUUUUCUCUCUCCAUGUCUAAUAAUAUCAUUUAUUGAUUAAAAUAAAAUAAAUUAAAAUAAUUGAAAAAUGAAUAAAUAGUUUCUGGCUUUAAUGUGGACAUUUUGGCCAAAUAAUGUUGACAUCCUUUCCUCAAGUGAGUGUGUUUGUGGGCUUCUAUAUAUUUAAAGGAGACACCUAACUAAAUGCAGUAUUUUGAUGAAUUUGGUUGAGGUGAGGUUUGAAGCCAUGGGCAAAGAAACAUCACCGCAAUAAUGAUGAUAUGGAAUCCAGAACAGAUUAGAAUUUGGAUACAUAUCUGUAAGUUUUUUUGAAUGGUUCACGCCCUCUUUCUUUAUUCUUUUUUUUAUUAUUAUUCUCUAAUAACGUGUAACCACCACUCUGCAUACAGUACCACAUGUCGCUAUCACGCACAACCAUACGUAUGGACGUACUAUCCCUUUCUCCAUUGUCAAAUGGCUAUUUAAUUUCUUCCGGCACCCAUGCUAACAUGGUCUUGAAUGUAGAAGGGUUUGUUCCCACUGAUCUAUCAGGUCAAGUGAGCUGAAUCCUUCUUUGUUGGGCUCGAGUCUUGUUCUGUCCGUCUUGCUCGAGCAUGGUCUGAAUUGCAUGCUAGUGAACAGUCUUGCGUAGCGGGCUCUGGUGAAUUACGGCCUGACUCUACUACGUGGGACUCGCCUGUAGUCCGGGUGACAGAGACCCAUCGAUCAUCAAAGGAAAACAUGAAGGGUAUAUAUGAUCAUGAUUUUAAUUUGGUGGAUCGAAAAGGCAAAAUGGAUAAAAUUUACAAUCUACCCAAUACUUGGUUUGUUUCUCUUCUGCCUUUCACAAACUCAAACUCUAAAUUAUUUUACUCCUCAAAUAUGUUUUGUUGUUAUUAUUAUUAGUAUUAGACUGAAUGCAUUAAUGUCUGAUUUUUAGCCUUACCAGCCUAAGUUUUUUUUAUUUUGAGAUGACUUGAGUUUAAAUGGAAACGUCUAAACUAAACUAGUUUGAUAAAAAAUUGAAACUAUUUAAAUUAAAUAUUUUUUAAAUAUAGAAAUGAAAUUGAAUGUUAAGCCAUUCAUUAAUAUUCAGUUAAUACAAGGCUCAAACAAGAGAUUCCCCCUUGGUUAAAAUCACUUAUAUGGCUAGCUUAGACUGUGUUUGGCUGUGUUUAAAUUUCAUUUUCAGAUAUCAAAAUAUGAAUCCAUGCGGGAUAAACAAAACGGCAAUGGGUUAGUCCCAUUUUGGCAGUGUCGUUUUAAUUUCAUUUUCAAAGAUAGAAAUAUCUUUGAAAAUAAGUGGUAAUGCAUUCUGCAUUAGUGAGUAAAGUAGCCCUACUUCUUGGUUAGUUUUAGAGAGGAGGGGUUAGCAGGAGAGCCAUGUUUUAGGGAUAGGACCUUAUCACCAGCAUCCAUCACCCAUCAUCUCCCUCAUAUUUCCACCAUUGGUUUCCAUCCUCCAACGAUAUAUAUCGUCUGGCAGCUUUCCAUGGAUGUCUCUAUUCUUACAGUCUUUCAACAUCAUCCUCUCCAAUAUCAACACGUGUCACCCCUCUUAGCUACAAUCUAUGAGUAUAUGACACGUCUUGCUUUUUUUUUUUCCUUAUAUAAAUUCAAAAUCUUAAAGUUAAUCUAAUAUUUUAUUAAAUAUUAAUCAAAUUUUAAUUAAUUUAGUGUUUAUUUAAUUGAUUAAUUAAUAAUAAUGACACCAUUAUAGAUUAACGUGGAGAAAAGACAAUGAAUGCAUGGUUUACAAGAUAUAAUCAUGUACGUACGUAUAUAUAUAUGAAUAAGUUGGUAGAUAAUAUAAUUAAAUACAUUGAAUAUUGCUGAGGUGAUAUAGGCAGAGAGAAGUAUUUGCAUUGAAUCUCCAACGUCCAAACCUAAUCUAAAAGGCAAGAACAAGAAGUUUUGAUUCACCAAGCUUUCGCUUUCAUUAUCUCUAUAGCACAAUAUGUAGCAGAGAAGAGUGGUUAAAAAUGGUAUAAAGUCCCUCAACUCUUGUGUCCCUUGCGCAAUGUCGACGGCUUCGAUUAACGGCGGGUGUCUCACCUCCCUCUCUCCUUCCCAAUCUUCUCUCCGGCGACCCACAUUACGUCCCUCAGUCUCUGCUAGGCUCAACACUCCUUCUUCUUCUUCUAUCCCUGCCCUUAUCAGAAACGAGCCCGUUUUUGCUGCUCCUGCUCCUAUCAUCAACCCUACUUGGGUAUUCUCUAUGUUCUAUUCUUAGAUCUUUCUACAUAUUUGCAUUCCACUGCAUCAUUUUAUUGCUUACGAAUCAUGUGCAUUUCACUAGCCAUUAAAAUUUUUAUUACGUGUACCAUUAUUUUAUAGCGUUUAUAUUUAUUUAAUUUCUUAUUAUUUUAUAAUACUAACAUUGGAUUCGAUGUGAAUAUAAUUUAAUUUUCAUUUAAUAAAUUAAAAAUAUCCAUUUUAAUUAUAUAAAAAAAACUCUAUUUUGUUAAAAAAAAAGGUUAACAGAGAAUGAAUCCUUGGUGGGUUAAAUGAAUUAGCAAUACUUUUUUUAGAAAUUAAUUUAAAAUACAAAUUACAUUAGUAUUUUUUUUAUUAUGGUCUAAAUGAAAAAUAAUAUGUUUUAAAUUUAUUGGUUGAAAUUUGCCACGUCACCUUUUUCUCGGGAGAUUUAUGGAUGUGGCUCUAAUGAGUGCCACCUUUACACAAGAAGUUGCACAAAUUUUGAUUUUCCAUGAGUUACUUAUGACUACGCCAACCAACUCUCUGCAAGAAACUAUACCAUGUGUCAAUUUCUAUGUGGCAAAUAACAUACGCUAUGCUUUACACGUGUAUACUCUCAUGCCCCACUAAAAUACAAAUUAAAAAAAAAUCCUUAAAUUUCCAGUAUUGUAAAUUUUACCCAUGGACUUAAAAAAUAACAAUUAUUACGUCAACUAUUUAUUUCUAAAAUUAAGAUAUUAAUUAAUUAAUUAUAUAACCUCUAUGAGACGUAAGUGUGAACUGAAAAGGAAAUUUGUAUGAUUACUUGGCGGAUUCUAGGGCUAACAAGCAAGCAAAGAUUCUAAAAAAGAAUCAUUGAGUUCAGUUAAAGAUUUUAUUUUUAGGCUUUAGUCAUUUUAGCUUAAUUUAACUCUAUAAAUUUCAAUGACCUCUCUCUUCAUUUUCAUCUCAAAAUUUUCUUUCGCCAUUAUAUUUUUUCCUUCUCUUCAUAGUUAAAGAAAUUAAAAUUUUCUCCUGAUAAGGUAUCUCUUGUUUCAAUUUGCUUGAAAUGCAUUAAAGAAAUAGACUGAUGUGUUUGCUGGGGAAUUGACAGAGAGAAGAAAUGGGAAAGAACUCGUACGAGGAGGCCAUUGAAGCUCUGAAGAAACUCCUCAAGUAAGUUUUGAAAGAAAGCCUUUUCAUCUCAAAAUCAACUGAACUUAACCCUUCAAUUCUUUUGCUUGUUUACUGAAGUUUGUUGGGUUGAUUGCCAGUGAGAAGGGAGAAUUGAAGCCCACUGCAGCAGCCAAAGUAGAGCAGAUAACAGCUGAGUUACAAUCUGGUUCAUCUGGCAGCAUACCCUUCAAUCCAAUUGAGAGAAUGAAAGAAGGCUUCAUUCACUUCAA